rnacentral:tRNA from 1 species
GCCCGGGUGGCGGAAUUGGUAGACGCGCAGCGUUCAGGGCGCUGUAAGAUUAUUCUUGUGGGAGUUCAAAUCUCCCUCCGGGCACAA